CUUACACCUGCGUGAGCGUCACCCCGGCUGAGGCGCUGGCAGAAGGCGGUGCGGGUGGAGCCUUCGCCAACGUCCUGGGCCCCCUGAGUGCUGCAUGCCAGUCCUACCAGCCGCUCGGUCAUCUGCCACCGCCCAGCAAUGGCUUCAGCAUGCAGUCCCUGCUAGGGGACUCCAGGGAGGAGCAUCCUGGCCAGGGCUGGUGCCACAGAGCAGCCCAGCUUCUGCAGGCAGAUGACAGAAGAGCAGACCGAUGAAAACAUGAGUGUCUGUGGUGAGUUCGGAUGGCAGCGUGUGGCACCUCGCUCAGUGCUCUCCAGAAACUGCAGACACGGCAUGAAAUCUUGCAACACGAGGGACCAGGACACCGAAGGGCAGCAGGGGAGAUGACUCCACAUGACCAAGACGGGAGCCCGGGAGAGAUGAGGCCACACGGCCAAGAUGGGAGCCCAGGGGAGAUGACACCACAUGAGACCAAGACCGGAGCCGGAGGGAGAGAUGACGCCACACGACCAAGACUGGAGCUGGAGGGAGAUGACUCCACACAACCAAGACCAGAGCCCGGGAGAGAUGACUCCACACGACCAAGACCGGAGCCCGGGAGAGAUGACUCCACACGACCAAGACCAGAGCCCGGGGGAGAUGACACCACAGGCCCUCACUGGUGUGGCCAGAGCCUGCCCAAAGAGUGUGUGUGAGAUGUGAGACACCCCUGCAGAUGCUGAAACCCUGAGAAACAGCACCCUUGGAUUCAGGGCAAACUAGAGAUAAAGCCAAUCUCUCUCUCUUCCUGGAGAAUCUCAGGAAAACCGCUUAGAUUCUAAGGGGAAGAAAAAAUAGAAAUCCCUCUAAGACCAGCAACAGUAAGUUCUGCAGGACGGGUUAUCAAAUUAAACAUCAGGCUAGGAAUUUAACCCGAAGUUCCAGACUGGUCAGACCCCGGGCACUGCAUGGACAGCAGCACCAAGGGACAUAAUGAUUUCCUCCCAAUACAUCAUGUUAUUUCACGGCACUAAACUCACAAGAGGCUGUAAAACAGAACGAAGAGCUCUGUACUCCCCUCACUCGGCCUCCCCAAAGACGACGUUUCAGACAAGCACAGAGCACAGGCAGUCAGCAGGGAGCCCUGGCAGGGCCAGGCCACUCAGCCCCACAGCCAUGUCCCUUUUCUACACUCCCUUGUUUUCCUGACUGACGGAAGCAGACACAAAGGAACUCACGCUGGACAACUCAGUUAGCAUAAAGGUUAAAAGCAAACAAACGGAACCCUGCUAUGCGAGGCACUUGCAGGGCGGUGAGACCAAAACGGCUGCUGUUCCCGGGGAGGGCACCCAGGCGUCCACCAGGUGUCCAGGGAGCCAGCAACGCUGUGUCUCACGGGGGUGCGAAUGUCAGGGCCAGAGUAGGAUGAUUUGUUAACCAGAUGUUUACAUUUUAAGGACCUUUCUGUAUGCAUGAUGCAACCAUAUGUUUUUGGGUUUUAAUUUUAAUAUUUAAAAAAGAAAGCCAAAGAGAACCCAGUGUCUUUCAAAGGAGUGACAAGCUAAAUUCUCAAAAGGAAGAAUGGAAGUCAGAAGACAGUGGCAUCAUUCCUUACAUGACCUGAGGAAAACCACCAGCAACCUGGAAUUCCAGGCACAGGAGGAAUGUCUUCAAGAAGCCUCCACAGCCAGCAGUGGACAUGGAGAAUGGGCUCAGCACGGCCCACCCUCACGGGCUCAGCACACCCCACCCUCAGGGGCUCAGCACGGCCCACCCUCACGGGCUCAGCGCACCCCACCCUCACGGGCUCAGCGCACCCACAUUCAUGGCCUUGCCCAGCUCCUGGGGCCAUCGGGGUAGCACUCAUACAGCCCUUGUUCCUGUCUGGUCCAUUCCCCCACGUGGCUCUGCACACUCAUCCCCAUUCAGGUCCAUCCGCAACAGAACAGAAUCAUGCCACACCCUUCACUAGGCCUCCCAGGAGAGGAGAGGGCCUCCCAGCCGAAUGCCUGGCCCUCCACCAGCAUCUGCUCUCGAGCCCCACAACACCAGCUCCUGCCUCUUCCAGACCACGCUCUUCCUCUUCCUCAGAGCCCCACCUAUGAACGUCCUGGCAUCACUCCUGCCCUGAACAGCCCAGCCCUCACUCCAGCUCUGCCUGUGUCUGGACGACCACCCCCCACUCCCUGACCUCACCCCCUCCCACAAGCCUGUUCCCACCAGAUCAGCCACUUCCCUCAUGGUCUCACCAUGAACCACAGCCCACAUGACUCGUCUUGAGGCCACCCCACUGUCUCUGAAUCCUUUUCUGCUUCUCCCUGACAUACCCAGCAGCCUCCGUGGCUCCUCCUGCAUGGAGCUGGCCCCCAGUGCCCCCAGUGCCUACCUCGGCUCAGCGCUUCUCACGGCACACUUUCCUCUCAGCCUCCAGGAGCCCCCCACAAACCCCUGGCUUACUGGACCCCAGUUCACUCAGCUGCUCCCUCCCUCACCCCCCUGCCAGGGCUUGGCUCCCCCAUCAUCAUCUCAUUCAGUCUUGACCUUGGUAAGUCAAGUCUGCAUGUGAGACUGACAGGAACCACUGGGGCAAAAACUGGAAAGUUUGUAACUAACAGAGAGAAGAGAAAUGGCAAAAUCAAAAUAAAACCAAUUCAAAAGACGCAAGAACGACCAAAAAGUGGAAAGUCUGUAACUUCCAGAGAGAAGAGAAACGGCAAAAUCGAAAUAAAACCAAUUCAAAAGAUGCACGAACGACCAAAAAAGUAUUGGCUUCAAAAGGCUGGCACUAUGGUCUGAAUGCAAUUUAUUUACCGGGGCUGGGGGCCCCAAUGAGGUUUUGAGGCUGGGCCUUUAAGAGGCUACGAGGCUGUGAAGAUGGAGCCACGCCUCUCUGAAAGGCGGAGUCAGCCCCCAGGAAUGGACCUGCUCCCUGUGGGCGGCCUGGUCCACAGCAAGGCUGUGCUGGAGCAUCUUCCUCUUGGCGUGGUUCCUGGCUGUGUUCGGGAACAGCACGAGGUCCUCACCAUAAGUCACCAAAGGCAGCCCCUCGACCUUGGGCUUCCCAGCCUGCAGAACUGUGAGAAAUAAAUUUCUUUUCUUUAUAAAUG
rnacentral:lncRNA from 1 species